AGCAGUCGCCGCGGUAAAACGUAGGGUGCAAGCGUUAAUCAGAAUUAUUGGGCGUAAAGGGUGCGUAGGCGGUUUGAUAAGUCAUCUGUGAAAUCUCUGGGCUCAACCCAGAGUCUGCAGGCGAAACUGUCGGGCUUGAGUAUGGGAGAGGUGAGUGGAAUUUCCGGUGUAGCGGUGAAAUGCGUAGAUAUCGGAAGGAACACCUGUGGCGAAAGCGGCUCACUGGACCAUAACUGACGCUGAUGCACGAAAGCUAGGGGAGCAAACAGGAUUAGAUACCCCCGUAGUCCCUGUCUCUUAUAC
rnacentral:rRNA from 1 species